AGACCUCUGAUCAGAAAAGACUACCCGCUGAGUUUAAGCAUAUCACUAAGCGGAGGAGAAGAAACUAACCAGGAUUUCCCUAGUAACGGCGAGCGAACCGGAAAGAGCC
rnacentral:rRNA from 1 species